GUACGGGGGGGGGCAAGCGUUGUUCGGAAUUACUGGGCGUAAAGGGCUCGUAGGCGGCCAACUAAGUCGGAUGUGAAAUCCCCAGGCUUAACCUGGGAACUGCAUCUGAUACUGGAUGGCUUGAAUCCGGGAGAGGGAUGCAGAAUUCCAGGUGUAGCGGUGAAAUGCGUAGAUAUCUGGAGGAACACCGGUGGCGAAGGCGGCAUCCUGGACCGGCAUUGACGCUGAGGAGCGAAAGCAUGGGGAGCGAACAGG
rnacentral:rRNA from 1 species